AUGAACUUCAAUAUGCAGGGGAUGGAAAAGACCAUUCCUGAGGUAUAUUCAAUGCUGAAAUCAGCGGAGGUGGAGAUCAAAAAGGAACAUCAAGUGUUGAUGGUGAAUAAAACCACUAAGUUCAAGAAAGGCAAGGGUAAGAAGAACUUCAAGAAGGACGGCAAGGGAGUUGCUGCGCCCGGUAAGCCAGUUGCCGGGAAGAAGCCAAAGAAUGGACCCAAGCCUGAGACUGAGUGCUUUUAUUGCAAGGGAAGUGGUCACUGGAAGCGGAACUGCCCCAAGUACUUGGCGGACAAGAAGGACGGAAACACCAAAGGUAUAUGUGAUAUACAUGUUAUUGAUGUGUACCUUACCAGCACUCGUAGUAGCUCCUGGGUAUUUGAUACCGGUGCGGUUGCUCAUAUUUGUAACUCAAAGCAGGAGCUGCGGAAUAAACGGAGACUGGCAAAGGACGAGGUGACGAUGCGCGUCGGGAAUGGUUCCAAGGUUGAUGUGAUCGCCGUCGGCACGCUACCUCUACAUUUACCUACGGGAUUAGUUUUAAACCUCAAUAAUUGUUAUUUAGUGCCAGCUUUGAGCAUGAACAUUGUAUCAGGAUCUCGUUUAAUUCAAGAUGGCUACUCAUUUUCCGAGAAUAAUGGUUGUUCUAUUUAUAUGAGAGAUAUGUUUUAUGGUCAUGCCCCGCUGGUUAAUGGUUUAUUCUUAAUGAAUCUCGAACGUCGUGUUACACAUAUUCAUAGUGUGAAUACCAAAAGAUGUAAGGUUGAUAAUGAUAGUCCCACAUACUUGUGGCACUGCCGUCUUGGUCACAUUGGUGUCAAACGCAUGAAGAAGCUCCAUGCAGAUGGACUUUUGGAGUCUCUUGAUUACGAAUCAUUUGACACGUGCGAACCAUGCCUCAUGGGUAAGAUGACCAAGACUCCGUUCUCCGGAACAAUGGAGCGAGCAACCAACUUAUUGGAAAUCAUACAUACUGAUGUGUGCGGUCCAAUGAGUGUUGAGGCUCGCGGUGGCUAUCGUUAUGUUCUCACUCUCACUGAUGACUUGAGUAUAUAUGGGUAUGUCUACCUAAUGAAACACAAGUCUGAGACCUUUGAAAAGUUCAAGGAAUUUCAGAGUGAGGUUGAGAAUCAACGUGACAGAAAAAUAAAGUUCUUACGAUCAGAUCGUGGAGGGGAAUAUUUGAGUCACGAAUUUGGCACACACUUAAGGAAAUGUGGAAUAGUUUCACAACUCACGCCGCCUGGAACACCUCAGUGA
rnacentral:rRNA from 1 species